ACAGCCCUUACAAGUUCGUAGUGGGAAAUACUGGGAGUCACAACUUGGCGGGAAGCAACGACCACUCUCUACGAUGAAACCUUCGGCGACUGAGGCGGCAAUUCGAAUAAGCCGAGCUCUAAUCGCAGCUUCAAACCAGUCGAGACCCACUCGAUCAUGGAGCCCUUCACUGGAGCAGACUCUACAUCGACUCGAGUGCCACGAAUUGCUGAGUCCCUCACUCGUAGCCCGAGUCAUCGACCCCUUCCUCCUUCACCAUCAUUCACUCGCUCUCGGUUUCUUCUAUUGGGCUUCUCAGAAACCAGGGUUUGCUCACACUUCCAUCAGCUAUCAAUCAGUCCUUAAGUCUCUCUCCAUUUCCCGCCAAUUCAAUGCGGUUGAAAGGCUCUUGAAAGAUGUGAAAGCCCAGAAAAUUGUGCUUGAUUCUUCGGUUUAUCGAUCAGUGAUUGCCUCACAGAUUAUAGGGAAGAGAACCCAAAAUGCUUUCUUGAUAUUUAAUGAAGUUAGCGCGCUUAGUCGCGAGAUUGGACCAGAUACGUGCAACUCCCUUGUUGCUGCUCUUGCAUCUGAUGGGUGUGUUGUUUAUGCCCAAAGAGUGUUUGAUGAAAUGAUUCAUCACGGUGUCCCUUUGAAUUCUCUUGGAUUUGGUGUUUUCAUAUUGAGGUUUUGUAGAAAUGCUGAGUUGGGUACUACUUUAAGUCUGUUAGACGAGGUUACAAAGCAUGCUUCCGAAAUUAACGGGUCCAUUAUUGCACUUUUAAUCAUUCACGGGCUUUGUCAGGUCUCCAGGGUGUCAGAAGCUUUUGAGUUACUGGAGGAGUUAAGGAGCAGGGAAUGUAAACCUGAUUUUAUGGCGUAUCGGAUUGUUACUGAGGCAUUUAGAUUGAAGGGAAGUGUGGCUGAAGUGGAGAAGGUCUUGAAGAAGAAGAGAAAGCUUGGGGUAGCUCCAAGGGAGAAUGAUUAUAGGGAGUUUAUCUUUGGUUUGAUUUCAGAGAGACGGAUACCUGAAGCAAAGGAAUUGGGUGAAGUGAUUAUAAAUGGGAAUUUCCCAAUUGGGAAUGAUGUUCUUAAUGCAUUGGUAGGAUCUGUUUCAUCUAUUGAUCCUGGUUCUGCAAUGUUGUUUUUCAAGUUCAUGAUUUCAAAAGAAAGUUUUCCAACUCUGCUAACUUUGAGCAAUUUGGGUAGAAAUCUUUGUAAGCGUGGAAAAGCCGAUGAAUUACUGGAGGUUUUUCAUAUUUUGUCUUCUAGAAACUACUUCUCAGAUUUGGAGACUUACAGUGUGAUGGUUUCAUUCUUGUGCAAGGCUGGGAGAGUGAGAGAAGCUUAUGGGGUUCUUCAGGAGAUGAAGAAGAAUGGGCUGGAUCCAGAUAUAUCAUCCUAUAAUUGUCUAAUGGAAGCAUGCUGUAGAGAGGAUCUAUUGCGCCCUGCAAAAAGGCUUUGGGAUGAGAUGUUUGCAAGUGGAUAUGGUGUAAAUUUGAAGACUUACAACAUCCUUAUCCAAAAGUUCUCAGAAAUAGGCCAAAUUCAAGAGGCUCAGUGGCUCUUUCAACAUAUGUUGGAGAAAGGAGUAAACCCUGAUGCUACAACCUACACAUCCCUGCUUGAGGGGCUUUGUCAGGAGAAGAAAUUUGAAUCUGCUUUUGAAGUUUUCAAGAAGUCUGUUGAACAGGAUGUAAUGCUUGCACAAACAAUAUUAAAUACAUUUAUUCUUUACAUCUGCAAAGAAGGUAAUUUUCUUUUUGCUUCCAAGUUGCUCUGUGGUCUCACUUAUGAUGUAGGACAUUCAGACUCCCAUGUGAUUUUCCUGAAAUAUUUAGCUGAUGCUAGUGAGAUUUCAACUGCCAUUGAACAUAUAAAAUGGGUUGGAGAUACCUUGCCUUCAAUGUUGCCAACAAUAUCUACAGAGCUUUUUGCAUUGCUUGCUUCUUCUUCAAAACCAGAGCCAAUCCUAAAAAUGCUUCUAGCAAUGCAGGAGAAGUCUCCAGUUCCUUACAAUGAUAGUUGGAAAGAACUUAGCAACCAAUUGUUCACUGGCCAUAGUUUGGGAACAAAUUGAAGGUUGUGUCUUACUUUUAACCAUAAAUAUUGGCUCCUAAGUAUGGUAAUAAGGGGUCAACAAAUCCAGGUUUACAGCAGGUCGGUCAUGCAAUCAAGAAAUGCUACAAACUUCAUGGCUAUCCCCCUGGACAUCGAUUUCACAAGGAAUCAUUUCAACCAGC